UUAAAGGAUUGAUAGCAAAAGCCUAUUUCUUUCUCUUCAUUUCCCCAUUUCCCAUCACUAUUCAUCCUCCAUUAGUCACCCACUUUCCUUUUCUCUUUCACUCUCCUCUCAUUUUUUUUUCUUUGAGCAAAAACUGUUGCUUCCUCCUCCUUUUUAAGGUUGGUGGUCCCUUCCACCUCCUCCUCCUCAACACCACCUUAUUUUAUUUUAUCACCAUAAAUCAAAGCUUAUAUAAUCUCACCAUGCUUCGUUCUCCUUCAAAACCGCAGCAAUGCCCAACCAUGUCGGCUUUCGAACCUCACGUCUCUCUCCUCUUUGCGCUCGCUUUGUAAUCUGCUUCUGUCUCUCAAGAGGUUAUAUAUGAAAUUAUUUGUUUAUAAUUCUACAAGUUUCAAUUGAUUCUUUUUUUUUUUGUCUGGAAUUUUGAAAUUUCUAGAUUUUAAGUUUGCCGUUGAUUUUAUGUAAGGUUAUGUGCUUUGAUUAUGCAUUUGUGGCUGAUUAAGUAGAUGAGACUAACAAGUAUGUUGUUCCGAAGCAAUUCAAGAGUCGAAAUCUCGAAGAAGCUUUAAUGACUGAUCUGCUUGAUGUCGUUACAAUCAAACAAAGAAGGAAGAAAAUGGAGUACUCAACUCUAAUUAAUGUAAUUGUAACUGUAAAUUUCAAUAAAUUCAAACAUUUUUUUGUAGGGA